rnacentral:rRNA from 1 species
GACGAACGCUGGCGGCGUGCUUAACACAUGCAAGUCGAACGGUAAGGCCCUGUUCUUGUGGGGUGCUCGAGAGGCGAACGGGGGAGUAACAUGUGAGUAAACUGCCCUUUACUCUGGGAUAACUUCAGGGAACUGGGGCUAAUAUCGUAUAGGAGCUCCUGCUGCACGGUGGGGGUUGGAAAGUUUCGGUUGUUGGGGAUGGACUCGCGGCUUAUCAGCCUGUUGGUGGGGUAGUGGCUUACCAAGGCUUUGACGGGUAGCCGGCCUGAGAGGGUGACCGGCCACAUUGGGACUGAGAUACGGCCCAGACUCCUACGGGAGGCAGCAGUGGGGAAUAUUGCACAAUGGGCGGAAGCCUGAUGCAGCGACGCCGCGUGCGGGAUGACGGCCUUCGGGUUGUAAACCGCUUUCGCCUGUGACGAAGCGUGAGUGACGGUAAUGGGUGAAGAAGCGCCGGCUAACUACGUG